UAGAAAUGGGUGGGGGCGGGGCGAAUGCGCCUGUGAUCUAAUUCUCAGGAAUGGGUGGUAUGAUGUAUCUGAUCAGCUGCAGAGAAAUACUAUUUUUUGCCUCUGCCCAGUCUGGCGGGCAAAAUUCAGGGAGAAGAGGGAGAAAGAGAUGGAGGAAGACAGGCCAGGAGAUACCUAUGGCAGCCUGGGCCAGAUAGUUGGGCGUCCCGAGCACUUGGGAGGUGGCUGUGUAAAAGGAUAGGGAUACAGGAGCACAGCACCAGAUGAACAAAUAGGUAGCCUGAAUCUGUGACUCAGAGAAGGCAAUCAAUCCCUUUGACCUGCUCAGUCCUCAACCAGCAAGGGCAAAACAGCCUUCCCCACUCAGAGAGACAGCCAUAUACAACAUGGAGGAGGGAGAAGAAACGAUGGUAAUUUAUGGUAAUUUAAUUAGUUUAAUUAACAGCUACAAACACCUACAAAUACACACCCAUUGAGAA